UUUAUGGAGAGUUUGAUCCUGGCUCAGGAUGAACGCUGGCGGCGUGCCUAAUACAUGCAAGUCGAGCGAACGGACGAGAAGCUUGCUUCUCUGAUGUUAGCGGCGGACGGGUGAGUAACACGUGGAUAACCUACCUAUAAGACUGGGAUAACUUCGGGAAACCGGAGCUAAUACCGGAUAACCG
rnacentral:rRNA from 1 species